UACGGGGGGGGGCAAGCGUUGUUCGGAAUUACUGGGCGUAAAGGGCUCGUAGGCGGCCAACUAAGUCAGACGUGAAAUCCCUCGGCUUAACCGGGGAACUGCGUCUGAUACUGGAUGGCUUGAGUGUAGGAGAGGGAUGCGGAAUUCCCGGUGUAGUGGUGAAAUGCGUAGAUAUCGGGAGGAACACCAGUGGCGAAGGCGACUUCCUGGCCUGUUCUUGACGCUGAGGCGCGAAAAGCUAGGGGGAGCAAACGGG
rnacentral:rRNA from 1 species